GGCAAGGGCGUCGCGAGUUAGAGCCCUACCCGACGUGCUGAGCUAGAGGUGCCCUACUGCAGGUCUAGUUCAUUAGAUCUGUUGAGAGAACUAUUGAUGAGGAGUUAACUAGUUGGAUAAUAUGUAUGCAAUUUUUUUGGUAGACACUUGCCUUAUUUAUCUGUUUAAUAAUUUCUUUUUUGAAUUU